rnacentral:rRNA from 1 species
GUGGGGAAUAUUGGACAAUGGGCGAAAGCCUGAUCCAGCCAUGCCGCGUGUGUGAAGAAGGUCUUCGGAUUGUAAAGCACUUUAAGUUGGGAGGAAGGGCAGUAAGUUAAUACCUUGCUGUUUUGACGUUACCGACAGAAUAAGCACCGGCUAACUUCGUGCCAGCAGCCGCGGUAAUACGAAGGGUGCAAGCGUUAAUCGGAAUUACUGGGCGUAAAGCGCGCGUAGGUGGUUUUGUAAGUUGGAGGUGAAAUCCCCGGGCUCAACCUGGGAACUGCCUCCAAAACUGCAUGACUAGAGUACGGUAGAGGGUAGUGGAAUUUCCUGUGUAGCGGUGAAAUGCGUAGAUAUAGGAAGGAACACCAGUGGCGAAGGCGACUACCUGGACUGAUACUGACACUGAGGUACGAAAGCGUGGGGAGCAAACAGGAUUAGAAACUCGGGUAGUCC